GGCCCGCGCGCCUAGCGACGGACGUGGGAGCCGGCGGCGGCAGGGCCCGCGCGCCUAGCGACGGUGGCGGCUGGACGCGGCGGUGGCGGGCAGCGCGCGCGCGGCGGCGGCGCGUCCACUGCCGGCGGAGCUCAAGAUCUCCGGCCGCUGGACAAGGAGGGAAGGAGCCUAGCGACGGACGUGGGAGCCGGCGGCGGCAGGGCCCGUGCGCCUAGCGACGGCGGCGGCUGGAGCUCAAGAUCUCCGGAUCGUGGUGGGCGGCGGAUUUCGAGCGCAGGCGACGGCGACCUUGAGCGGUGGGUUCAAUCGCACCUCGCGAUUGCCGGCGUCCUUACAGCGCCACACGAGACAGUGCAGAGGAGGCGGGUGACGACGGUGGUCGAAGCCGCUGGGAUGGAGACGGGUGGAGGUGGUGCUGCAGCAACGCAAAGGGGGCUUCCGCGAACAUGGGAAGUCGCCGACGAACGCGGACUACGGCAAGGGUCCCAUGGCGGCAGCAGGUGGGCGGGCUUGGCGAGCGGUAGGAGCGGAAGAAUGUCUGGUGGUGGAGGCAGGCUGACCGGUGCCGGUCGCGCUCCCUUAGCCAUGCCCUCACUCGUCGUCGUCCUGGUCGCCUCUUCCCCAACUAGAAUCGACUGGCAGAGCAAGGUUUAUUUCACAUGUGUCUCCAGGAUAUCGAUUCAUGGCGAGGCUAAUCCUAGACAGUAAAAGAUGGGAACCAAGAAUGCUUGUAGAAUGAAUUCCUGGGCAUCAUCAAAAGGAUGCGUGCAAUGGCUGAUUACCAACGCUGAUGUAGUAAUAUUGUUGUAACUAUUGCCAAGAAGCUGCUGUAAUAUCAAAUUUGGUGUUGAAAAUGGCGUCGAUUUCUAUGAUGUUUCGUUCGUGAAGGAUGCCAAUGUUAUGCAUGAAUUCAAAGAUUACCUCAAAGGUGGCAUGUGCUGUGGAAUCAAGCAGAUGGGAUGGUGUGUAGCGGAAGGCCGCCUCGGUUGUUGGACACAGCUGCCUACCGAAUGACCAUCAGCACCUACGAGCUCGCUUCAGCCAGAGAUCCUGCAACUGAGUUUAAGAGAAUGAUUGGCAAAGGUGGAGGAGCUCAUGAAGACUAUACAUAAUUCUCACUGUCUUUAUCAAGUAACCGAUCCAAAAAAUCUAGAUGCACACUUCAAAUGGGACCUGAGAUAUAGAAGGACACAGUAGGCAGCUGUUGGUUCAGGAGGCAGACUGGCAGGUGUUGGGAUGCGCCUGUGGAUGAAAAUUUCAUCCGUGGAGAUAGUGUCCAUGGAACCUUCAGAGAGAGUUGUAAUUUUAGAGUUGCUGAAGGAGGCCCUAUCAUCGACCAGUCGAAUGGCUGUCGAGCAUUAUGUUGGAAAUUCUUCAAAGAUUGUAUGGACGGAAGAAGGCGCAGAACAGGGCCCCUUCUCUUAUCCAGAUUUUCGAGGGAAGCAUCCUUCCAUGACAAUGGCUAAAUCAUGUGUUUCUUUCGUCCAUUGAAAGGCAUGGCAGGUUACAUCAUGUUCGCCGGCAUCGAUGCUGACGGGUAGCUCCGCAAGUGGCCAAGUUGCUUCUAUGUAUUGCUGAUAUCAGUAGUGGCCUCGAUGCUUCGAGGAUAGCCAUCUGUGGGGGUAGCAGCCGGAUGUAUGCAAGUGGUGUUUUAGUGAGUACAAGCAUGGGCGGAUCUAGCUCCCAGCGACACCGAGCGGCUGCCAAGGCUGCUGUGGGAAGUUUUUCUUAAAUAGUAGUGUACCUUUUUCAGGACAAUUAUAUGCCCUUCACUUCCCUGGGAUGUAGUUUGAAGUGGCGAGGAACUUGUGAUUAAAUAGACGUCGUAUGCAAUAUGAGGGUGGUGAUGAUGUCACUCUCUACACAGACUGGCAGAAGAUGAAGCGGCUGCCGAUUACCUGAAAUUGUUUUAUUGUGUAGCUUGCUACUAAAUCUAAGACAUCUCUAUUGCUCGGUUCAUUGUAAUUUAGUACUAUUGCCGUAGAGUUUUAUGAUGACAUUAUUGUCACUUUACUUGCAAUAUAGUAUUGUUGCUGCUUAAAAAAAUGCAUUAUUUCUGGGUAUUUCCUUGCCAUUCAUGUAAAUAAUGAAAUAUACCUUUUUAGCGUGAGAUCUACCUUCAAAAUACUUACUACCAUCCA